rnacentral:tRNA from 1 species
GGUAAAAUGGCUGAAGUUUUAAGUGAUAAAUUGUAAAUUUAUUUAUGGGAUAAAUAUCCCUUUUACCA